rnacentral:tRNA from 2 species
AUCUUUGAAAGUUUUUAAUAAUAGCUCAUUUUCACUGAGCAGAGCUGCUUUAAAGCAGUCAAAGGUU